AUGAUUGUGUGACCGCAAAACCAUCGAUAAAUUCUACUCAGCAGCUCUGAGAAAUAUACUUUUUAUACCAAUUAAUUAUUCAAAAUAUACCAAACAUAUUACGAGUGGGGAAACAAAUUUAUAACUCCCUCUUUCGAGCGUACUAAUGCCUAAUCUAAAAUACAAAUUAUACGUAGGAUUCACGACUUUCAAACCGUCGGUCAAAUGCUCGUUGUCUCUGGGCUUUUUAUUGGCCGCCUUCUUGCGCUUGGAAACGAAAAGUAUUUCGGCAGCUCUGUUUUUCAGGACCUUUAAAAACUGGAUGAAACUUUACUUGAUGCCACAUGGUCACCUUCGGAUUGUUGAAUAAAAUACAACUAACAUUCUGAACGGAUUGGCCAAUGUCCAGUUGGUUGGUAUUGAUGUGGAUGUCCAUCGCCGUCCUCGUGGAGUGUGCAUAUGAAUUUCACUAUCUUGACCAGCACUUUAAAGCGAUACUGGGAACUGCCAUAUUUGGUCUUGUACCCGGGAAUGGGUUAAGAGAAGUCCACAUGGCUUAGGCCCCAUCCCGAGCCAGGAUAUGCUCUUGAGGAACUCACGUUGAGGCAUCCAGCUUAAGAGCAGUCGGAGGACUCAUUUUACGCUGGGAAUCAUCGCCGGGUGCCGGUGGAGCUGGUCCAUUGGGCUUGGACUUCUUUUCGAUGCUAUUUUGAAUGGGUAUUACACAUGCAAACAUGUAUACACGACAAUUUUUUUGGGUUCCCAAAUAUAAUUGAAACACAAAA